UUUAUGGAGAGUUUGAUCCUGGCUCAGAGUGAACGCUGGCGGCGUGCCUAACACAUGCAAGUCGCGCGGGAUUUUGCAGAGUAUCGCAGAGUCUAGCGGCAAACGGGUGAGUAACACGUAGGAAACCUCCCUCAAAAUGGGGAAUAUCUCCGAGAAAUCGGAGUCAAUACCGCAUAAGACCACAGUUUGGCAUCAAAUAGGGGUUAAAGCAGUAAUGCGUUUUGAGAUGGUCCUGCGGCCUAUCAGCU
rnacentral:rRNA from 1 species